GAACGCGAAAGUCCCGCAAGGGAUAAGUAGAGUGGCAAACGGGUGAGUAACACGUGGGUGACCUGCCUUCGAGCGGGGGAUAACGUCCCGAAAGGGACGCUAAUACCGCAUAACAUCCUACCUUUGAAGAGGUGGUGAUCAAAGCUGGGGAUCGCAAGACCUAGCACUCGAAGAGGGGCCCGCGUCCGAUUAGCUAGUUGGUGAGGUAACGGCUCACCAAGGCAACGAUCGGUAGCCGGCCUGAGAGGGCGGACGGCCACACUGGGACUGAGACACGGCCCAGACUCCUACGGGAGGCAGCAGUGGGGAAUUGUUCGCAAUGGGCGCAAGCCUGACGACGCAACGCCGCGUGGAGGAUGAAGAUCUUCGGGUCGUAAACUCCUUUCGAUCGAGACGAAUUCCUCCGGGGUAAACAAUCCCGGAGGUUGACGGUACCGAGAGAAGAAGCCCCGGCUAACUCCGUGCCAGCAGCCGCGGUAAUACGGGGGGGGCAAGCGUUGUUCGGAAUUACUGGGCGUAAAGGGCUCGUAGGUGGCCAACUAAGUCAGACGUGAAAUCCCUCGGCUUAACCGGGGAACUGCGUCUGAUACUGGUUGGCUUGAGUUUGGGAGAGGGAUGCGGAAUUCCAGGUGUAGCGGUGAAAUGCGUAGAUAUCCGGAGGAACACCGGUGGCGAAGGCGGCAUCCUGGACCAACACUGACGCUGAGGAGCGAAAGCCAGGGGAGCAAACGGGAUUAGAUACCCCGGUAGUCCUGGCCCUAAACGAUGAAUGCUUGGUGUGGCGGGUAUCGAUCCCUGCCGUGCCGAAGCUAACGCAUUAAGCA
rnacentral:rRNA from 1 species